AACACCUCAAAUCCCUCUACUUGUUGGAGGAAUUUGGACUUGAGCAAUCCCAACUUUUCGAAAGAGAAGGCGGGUUGCUUGAAAUGCAGGUGCAGCUAGAUUUUUCUUCUGAGCUAUAAGCAUACUUAUUUAAUCCCGUAAAACGGAUUAUUACUUUUGCUGCAGCUAACAUAAAGGUUGAAGAGUCGCGAUGGCUGACUGAUGCAGGAUUAACAUUUCGCGUAAGCGAUUUGUAA
rnacentral:misc_RNA from 1 species